rnacentral:rRNA from 1 species
UACACUCCUGCGGGAGGCAGCAGUGGGGAAUAUUGGACAAUGGGCGCAAGCCUGAUCCAGCCAUGCCGCGUGAGUGAUGAAGGCCCUAGGGUUGUAAAGCUCUUUCACCGGUGAAGAUAAUGACGGUAACCGGAGAAGAAGCCCCGGCUAACUUCGUGCCAGCAGCCGCGGUAAUACGAAGGGGGCUAGCGUUGUUCGGAUUUACUGGGCGUAAAGCGCACGUAGGCGGACUAUUAAGUCGGGGGUGACAUCCCGGGGCUCAACCCCGGAACUGCCUUUGAUACUGGUAGUCUUGAGUUCGAGAGAGGUGAGGGGAAUUCCGAGUGUAGAGGUGAAAUUCGUAGAUAUUCGGAGGAACACCAGUGGCGAAGGCGGCUCACUGGCUCGAUACUGACGCUGAGGUGCGAAAGCGUGGGGAGCAAACAGGAUUAGAAACCCGUGUAGUCCCAUGAU